rnacentral:rRNA from 1 species
GGUUAAGCGACUAAGCGUACACGGUGGAUGCCCUGGCAGUCAGAGGCGAUGAAGGACGUGCUAAUCUGCGAAAAGCGUCGGUAAGGUGAUAUGAACCGUUACAGCCGGCGAUGUCCGAAUGGGGAAACCCAGUGCAAUUCGUUGCACUAUCGUUAACUGAAUACAUAGGUUAACGAGGCGAACCGGGGGAACUGAAACAUCUAAGUACCCCGAGGAAAAGAAAUCAACCGAGAUUCCCCCAGUAGCGGCGAGCGAACGGGGAGCAGCCCAGAGUCUGAAUCAGCUUGUGUGUUAGUGGAACGGUCUGGAAAGUCCGACGGUACAGGGUGAUAGUCCCGUACACCAAAAUGCACAGGUUGUGAACUCGAAGAGUAGGGCGGGACACGUGGUAUCCUGUCUGAAUAUGGGGGGACCAUCCUCCAAGGCUAAAUACUCCUGACUGACCGAUAGUGAACCAGUACCGUGAGGGAAAGGCGAAAAGAACCCCGGCGAGGGGAGUGAAAAAGAACCUGAAACCGUGUACGUACAAGCAGUGGGAGCACCUUCGGGUGUGACUGCGUACCUUUUGUAUAAUGGGUCAGCGACUUAUAUUCUGUAGCAAGGUUAACCGUAUAGGGGAGCCGCAGGGAAACCGAGUCUUAACUGGGCGUUAAGUUGCAGGGUAUAGACCCGAAACCCGGUGAUCUAGCCAUGGGCAGGUUGAAGGUUGGGUAACACUAACUGGAGGACCGAACCGACUAAUGUUGAAAAAUUAGCGGAUGACUUGUGGCUGGGGGUGAAAGGCCAAUCAAACCGGGAGAUAGCUGGUUCUCCCCGAAAGCUAUUUAGGUAGCGCCUCGUGAAUUCAUCUUCGGGGGUAGAGCACUGUUUCGGCUAGGGGGUCAUCCCGACUUACCAACCCGAUGCAAACUACGAAUACCGAAGAAUGUUAUCACGGGAGACACACGGCGGGUGCUAACGUCCGUCGUGAAGAGGGAAACAACCCAGACCGCCAGCUAAGGUCCCAAAGUCAUGGUUAAGUGGGAAACGAUGUGGGAAGGCACAGACAGCCAGGAUGUUGGCUUAGAAGCAGCCAUCAUUUAAAGAAAGCGUAAUAGCUCACUGGUCGAGUCGGCCUGCGCGGAAGAUGUAACGGGGCUAAACCAUGCACCGAAGCUGCGGCAGCGACACUAUGUGUUGUUGGGUAGGGGAGCGUUCUGUAAGCCUGCGAAGGUGACCUGUGAGGGUUGCUGGAGGUAUCAGAAGUGCGAAUGCUGACAUAAGUAACGAUAAAGCGGGUGAAAAGCCCGCUCGCCGGAAGACCAAGGGUUCCUGUCCAACGUUAAUCGGGGCAGGGUGAGUCGACCCCUAAGGCGAGGCCGAAAGGCGUAGUCGAUGGGAAACAGGUUAAUAUUCCUGUACUUGGUGUUACUGCGAAGGGGGGACGGAGAAGGCUAUGUUAGCCGGGCGACGGUUGUCCCGGUUUAAGCAUGUAGGCUGAUUGUCCAGGCAAAUCCGGAUAAUCAAGGCUGAGGUGUGAUGACGAGGCACUACGGUGCUGAAGUAACAAAUGCCCUGCUUCCAGGAAAAGCCUCUAAGCAUCAGGUAACAUUAAAUCGUACCCCAAACCGACACAGGUGGUCAGGUAGAGAAUACCAAGGCGCUUGAGAGAACUCGGGUGAAGGAACUAGGCAAAAUGGUGCCGUAACUUCGGGAGAAGGCACGCUGGUGUGUAGGUGAAGUCCCUGCGGAUGGAGCUGAGACCAGUCGAAGAUACCAGCUGGCUGCAACUGUUUAUUAAAAACACAGCACUGUGCAAACACGAAAGUGGACGUAUACGGUGUGACGCCUGCCCGGUGCCGGAAGGUUAAUUGAUGGGGUUAUCCGUAAGGAGAAGCUCUUGAUCGAAGCCCCGGUAAACGGCGGCCGUAACUAUAACGGUCCUAAGGUAGCGAAAUUCCUUGUCGGGUAAGUUCCGACCUGCACGAAUGGCGUAAUGAUGGCCAGGCUGUCUCCACCCGAGACUCAGUGAAAUUGAACUCGCUGUGAAGAUGCAGUGUACCCGCGGCAAGACGGAAAGACCCCGUGAACCUUUACUAUAGCUUGACACUGAACAUUGAGCCUUGAUGUGUAGGAUAGGUGGGAGGCUUUGAAGCGUGGACGCCAGUCUGCGUGGAGCCAACCUUGAAAUACCACCCUUUAAUGUUUGAUGUUCUAACGUUGGCCCCUUACCGGGGUUGCGGACAGUGUCUGGUGGGUAGUUUGACUGGGGCGGUCUCCUCCCAAAGCGUAACGGAGGAGCACGAAGGUUAGCUAAUCCUGGUCGGACAUCAGGAGGUUAGUGCAAUGGCAUAAGCUAGCUUGACUGCGAGCGUGACGGCGCGAGCAGGUGCGAAAGCAGGUCAUAGUGAUCCGGUGGUUCUGAAUGGAAGGGCCAUCGCUCAACGGAUAAAAGGUACUCCGGGGAUAACAGGCUGAUACCGCCCAAGAGUUCAUAUCGACGGCGGUGUUUGGCACCUCGAUGUCGGCUCAUCACAUCCUGGGGCUGAAGUAGGUCCCAAGGGUAUGGCUGUUCGCCAUUUAAAGUGGUACGCGAGCUGGGUUUAGAACGUCGUGAGACAGUUCGGUCCCUAUCUGCCGUGGGCGCUGGAGAAUUGAGGGGGGCUGCUCCUAGUACGAGAGGACCGGAGUGGACGCAUCACUGGUGUUCGGGUUGUCAUGCCAAUGGCACUGCCCGGUAGCUAAAUGCGGAAGAGAUAAGUGCUGAAAGCAUCUAAGCACGAAACUUGCCCCGAGAUGAGUUCUCCCUGAGACUUUAAGUCUCCUGAAGGAACGUUAAAGACGAUGACGUUGAUAGGCCGGGUGUGUAAGCGCAGCGAUGCGUUGAGCUAACCGGUACUAAUGAACCGUGAGGCUUAACCUU